UUUGGAGAUGAUGUACAUGAUAACCCUCGAUUUAAGAGAGGAGGUGACACUCGCAGAGCUAGCAAAGAUGAAGGAGGUUCUAGUGCUAGUAAAUUUGACUUUGAACACGCAAUCAAUUUAGUGAACAAAAUAAAGAAACGUUUAGAAGACCAUGACUACAAAUCCUUCAUAAAUAUUUUGAGCGUGUAUAGAAAGGAGAACAAGGACAUCAAAGAGGUGU